UAUCAAAAUGCAAUACAUGAAAUUGAUAUAAUGAGCAAUAAUUCAGACACAGAACCUGACAUAGAAUACGUCUCAUCAAAAAAACAGCGCAAUUGCUCUGAUCUUCCACAGCUGUCAUAUGAUAAUAUGGCAGAAGAAAUUUUAAAGAAUAAUGAGCAUAAUGCUUCUUCAGCAAUAAUACCUGAAGAUGGAGAACAAAUAAUGGUGACUAAUUACGAAAUCACGACACCGAAAGAGUCAACUCCAUCUGAAACACCGUUGAGCGCGCCGCAAGAAAAUAUUGAAAAAUACAUUGUUAUUCCUGAAAGUAAUCAGUCGGACACACCUAUAAUAUACUCGUACAUUAAUAAAGAAACAAGUUUAUCAGAAGAACAAUGCGAAUUAAAAUCCAUGAAAAUAGAUAUCACCACUAUUAAAAGUGACCUAAAAUCCAUAAAUGACGAUAUGAAGACUAUAAUGGGGACCCUGAACACAACACUAAAUAAUCAAGCCGUAUUACACGAAACACUGAAAUCGAUUUUAUUACAAGUGACUGAAAUACAAGUUACGAACGAAGAAUUCAUUAAAAAAUCUAUUACAGAAAAACAAAACCAUUCGUUGAUGUUAAAACCAAUACAAGAUUUAAAAGAUUUAGAAGAGUUUGAAAAUAAAUUGAUGGAUUCUGAUUAUAGAGAAGAUUUACUAAGAAAGUUUAGUGUGUUUGGCACUAAAGGGACAGGAAGGGAAUCACAAGAGCAUAUACAAUUAUUGAUAUUUUGUUUGAAAGAAAGUUUUUCAAAUCGUGUUCGUGGACUGGAGCUUCACGUUCCCAAAAUGAAACAA